rnacentral:lncRNA from 1 species
GGCAUCAAUAAGGGGGUGCCCAAUAAUGGUCUCUAUGGGUCUCAGUGUAUCGCUAUGGGUCCCUAUGGGUCGCUAUGGGUCCCUAUGGGCCUCUAUGGGUCCCUAUGGGUCUCUAUGGGUCCCUAUGGGUCUCUAUGGGUCCUCUAUGGGUCCCUAAGGGUCUCUAUGGGUCUCUAUGGGUCUCUAAUGGUCCCUAUGGGUCUAUAAUGGUUCCUAAUGGUCCCUAUGGGUCUCUAUGGGGUCCCCGAUAUUUCUCUAUGUGUCCCUAUGGGUCUCUAUGGGUCUCUAUUGGUCCCUAUGGGUCUCUAUGGAUCUCUAUGGGUCUCUAUGGGUCUCUAUGGGUCCCUAUGGGCCUCUAUGGGUUAUAUGGGGGGGGGCAUUACUAAGGGGGGGUAAUAAGGGGGGGGUAAUUAAUAAGGGGGGGUAAUUAAUAAGGGGGGUAAUUAAUAAGGGGGGGGUAUUAAUAAGGGGUUAAUUAAUAAGGGGGGGGUAAAUUAAUAGGGGGGGUAAUUAAUAAGGGGGGUAAUUAAUAAGGGGGGGUAAUUAAUUAAGGGGGGUAAUUAAUAAGGGAGUACUAAGGGGGGUAAUUAAUAGGGGGGGUAAUUAAUAAGGGGGUAAAUAAGGGGGGAAAUUAAAUAAGGGGGGUAAUUAAUAAGGGGGGUAAUUAAAUAAGGGGGGUAAUUAAUAAUGGGGUUAAUUAAUAAGGGGGGUAAUAAAGGGGGGGUAAUUAAUAAGGGGGUAAUAAGG